UGCCAGCAGCCGCGGUAAUACGAAGGGGGCUAGCGUUACUCGGAAUUACUGGGCGUAAAGGGCGCGUAGGCGGCGUUCCAAGUUAGGCGUGAAAGUCCUGGGCUCAACCUGGGAACUGCGCUUAAGACUGGAGUGCUAGAGGAUGGAAGAGGGUUGUGGAAUUCCCAGUGUAGAGGUGAAAUUCGUAGAUAUUGGGAAGAACACCGGUGGCGAAGGCGGCAACCUGGUCCAUUACUGACGCUGAGGCGCGAUAGCGUGGGGAGCAAACAGGAUUAGAUA
rnacentral:rRNA from 1 species